rnacentral:tRNA from 1 species
GCCUUCGUGGUGUAACGGUUAGCACACUCGGCAAGUAUUCGAGAGGUCCAAGGUUCGAAUCCCGGCGAAUGCA